AUCACUGAGGAUGAAAAAUCAGGAGGUGGACAUCCAUAACAUUGGUCCCUGUCAACCCUGUGUGCAGCAAAUGGGUUCCACCCCGGAAGUGGCAAAAGAAAGUGUAUGAGUCAUUGUUGGCGAGGAAGGUGGCUACGUCCAGGCUUUCAGCAGAAGCCUGGCUGACAAGAUCAGACAUGACCCAGGCCCCAGCCACCUUUGUAGGUCCAUCCUGCCCAUCAGUACCUCCGCUCAAAAAUAGCACAUCAGUGGGCCCCAGUGGCUGCCUUCCCAGCUCCACUCCCACAUGCAGGGCCAGUUCUUGGUUCCGACCGCCCUUGCCAGAUCCCUGCAGCUGCACUGUGGGCUCCCCACCAGCCAGGAGGCAGACUGGACCUUUAGCCCUUGCCACAGCUUCCAGAGCCUCCUCCAGCUGCAUGUCCGGGAGCUGAAGCUCAGCUGCCAGCUGAUGGAGUUGUGCCUCCUCCUCCAAGGGAUGCUCAGUCGAGGAUGAAGUGAGGUGGGCUGCAGCCACCCGGGCUAGCAGCCCAUAGAACUGAGCCACGCUUUUGACAUCACCUUGCAUGGCUGUGCUCAACACCAUGGCCCGGUAGCCCAGUACCUCGGCUUGCCUCUGAGCCUCAGCCAGUGCCAGAGAGUUAGAGCCGAUGAUCACAUUGAGGACAUGACCACAGGUAUGUGGUCCAUGGGGGUCAGAGUCAGCUCGGGAAAGCACGGUCUUCACGGAGCGGGGCAGAGCAGCACGGAGACCGUAAUGGUUAAGAAUAUGCAGGCAGUCUUGCACACUGUGGGUACUGGCCACAGUAGGGCCACUGGCAAUCACCUCCAAGGGGUCCCCAAUCACAUCUGACAAGAUGAGGCUUACCACCUAGACAAAGGCCACAAAAUAAGGCUCAGUCUUGCCUCCUCUGUGUUCCAGGGCCCUUAAGGACAAACUAGCCCUGGGUAUACAGCACCUGGUAUGUUUCCUUGCCCACAUCUACCCACUUCUAGACACUUUCAGGUGGGCUGGUAAAACACCUAACCAGGAAGCCUAUCUCUAACCCUCUUUAAGCUUCCUCCCAGGACUUUCCGGACCAGGCCCCUGCCAACUCAUAUGUUGGCCUAAGCUCUCAUCUCCCUGUCACGUGUUGGGAACCCAGGGUUGACUGAAGAAGUGAUUAGUGCACCUGAGCAGGAUAGGCGGCCUGAGCCAACCCUCCACCCUUCAGCUGCGACAGGGCCUUGCGGAUGGUGUUCAGCUCCUGGAUUGUGGCUCCUCGGGCUGCCAGCAGCUUGGUACCCUCCAGGUUCCUCACUUCACCCUUGACCAUCGGUACUUGGGAGCAUCCCUGUCAGCUGCUCCCACACCUGAGAUGAGCACAAGCAGCAGGUCGUCAGCAGUGAGCCCCUCUGCCAGCUGCUGGAUGGUCAGUGCCGCCCGCAGUGCAUCCCGGUCCGGCAAGUUGUCCUCAGCACCCUCAAACACCUGGAUGCGGCUGUGUGGCUUCAGCAGCAUCUCUCUGAGGAGGGAGCAAGCAAGGGAGAAGAGAUGCGGUGCACUCCUCUCCUCCCACCUGACUUCCCAGCGGUACAGGUGAAAGUGUCCCACUGAUACCUAUUUCAAAACCAGGCCAGACCCAGGAGACAGGGAGGUCAAAGAGGAAGGGAGGUUCUCUUCCAAAGGAUAGCAGAGGGCAUCCCCUGCCCCCAUAGUUUCUUACUGCUUGCCGGCAUGUUCCAUAGCAGCUUGGAUCCCCUUGGGUACGCUGAUAACACCCUGCACGAGAUGCUGGCCCAGUAACUCCUCAGCUGCAGCUGCCAUGCCCAGUACAGCCUUGCCAAAGCCCACUAGGUAGAGGUUUUCCCGGAGCUGAAAGGUCCGGUCCCGCACCUUCAGCUGUCUGCCACUGGGAUCCAAGGACAGUGCCCUUUGCAGCAUGGGGCCUGGCUGCACAGCGCCCACCGCACUAUCAAACAGUUGCCGCGCCUGUUCAGCCAAGGUCAUACCACUGGUCAUCCGGGCCACUGGGGGCCCCCAGAGGAGUGGACGGUAUGGGGCUCGGAGGAGACAGGGCAAGACCUGGAGGGCCGAAGCCAUGCCCUGCUUCUCUCAGCACUGUCUUGUCUCCAUAGCUGCCUAGAGAGGGAGGAGAAGAAGUGAGGCCACGGACAGACCCCCACCAUCAUGGCCACCCCUCUGAGGGCUCAGGACUGGCAGACUCCAUGACCUGAAAUGAAACCUGAAGAAUUCAUGAAGCCUAAGCAAACCUGAUCUUAGACCAGUCCUGAAAGCCCAGCCCUGAAUGCCCAGCCUCGUCCUCUUCUUCUGUGGGCCACACACCAGUCUUCUGGACACUCUGCCCCAAGUCCAAAGUUCCUGUUAAGUGGACCUUCCUCCUAGGUCCUCCUAGUUAAUCAUUCAGUAAGGAAGCCAAUCCUACCAGUGGGCCCCUGUACCAUUCUUUCUCUACAUCCUGUAUCUCCAAAGUCCUCACACCACAGCAGUGCCCCUUUCUGGCAUUUAUGCCUUAGACUUUACCACUUCUACUGCCAAAAAAAAAACCCAAAAGGCUAUUGGUUGUCUAGCCACCUGACCCCAAGUCCAUCGACCUCUAGCCUGCUCUGUUUUGUUAGCUCAUGAGGCCAGUCUGGCAAUGCUGGGUCCAUGUGGAAAGGCUGCAGGUUUAUCAGUGCACACAACCUAUGGAAGCUCAGUACUCAGGCUAGUUCAGCAAGUGGGCCAGGCACAAAUCAAGAGGAACUACAAAAUCUGACUCAAGGUGAGACCUUCAGCAAGUCCCCGGGUUAUAUGCAAAAGGACAUGUGCUAUGGGGCUCAAUCUACAGGACAAGAAAAGACACCCUGUACCCCCACAGCUGGUCAUGAUCAGCCUUGCCAGGAACACCCCUUUCUGGCUCCAUGAUAGCAAAACAAGUCCCGAGUUACACCACUCGCAGUAAAAAACAGCCCCAGCACCAGAGCAGGCAAAGGCCAGGUUCCAGGAAUGAUGCUCAAUCAUUUUCUCCACUGGGCAAACAGAAAGGUCUUGGGGUAAAGGUCAGGAAGCUUCGGAGUAAAUAUAAGAACAAUAAAGGACUUAUCCGUAAAAAGGUAUCUAAGUUUAGGGACAGGAGGAUACUGAAGAGUGAACCUGGGGUUGUCCAUGUAACAAGAAUACACUCUACCACUGAGCUAUAUUCAAGCCCCUAAAAAAGUAGAAAGACAGCUGUAUCCGUAAGCAUGGGUGGAAGAGGGUGGAGUAUAGGGAUUGGGGUUCUAGCUUUUUUUUUUUUUAAAGUGUGUAUAGUAUGUCUUUUCUCACACUGAGCUCAUUUGCAAGAUGUGGGAUGCAAUGAAGCCUAAUUCUCAGGGAACUUGAAAGUGUAGUUCUGUGGGAGAGACCAUCCCUAACAUGCUAAAGUCAUCCAAUUCUCCACAGUGCUGGAAGACUGAUGGUCUUAUUUUCCUGACACCUCAGGCUUUCUGAUUCUCUGUACAACUGACAGAGCAAACUCCAGUUGCCAAAUUCCCAACGCUGUUUAAGACACUACACCUUCCCAGCUCCAGUGCACCUGGCUUGCGGGAGGAAAAGCGAAGACCAGCCUUGACUUCUCCCAGAACCAAGUGGAGCUGGCAUCACGUCGGAAAUGGCCAACCGCCAGGUGACCGGAAGUGACGUCGCCCGAGGCUGAGCCUGUAAUCUUCUCGAGGGAAGUGCUGCCGCGCAGUGCAAGAUGUAACAAAAUUGAGGGGCUGCUGUCGCCUGGAUCUGUCUCUGUCCGGGCCAGGAACGACUUCCAAGGACCAUUUAUGCGCCUGAGACGCAAACCUACCUUUCCGCUGCUCCUAGCGCCGGAGACCGGAAGUCGACUCUCUGUGGGUGGGGAUUAAUCCGGAAGUGGCUGGUCUGAGGUCUCCCUAGAGACCGAGAGCAGAGGUUUAAACUUUCGUGCCUCACUGACCGCCAGAAAACCUGAAAAGAGGUGAAUGAAGGCCUCUGGAUUCUGUAUUCCUGUAGUGGAUUCUCAGUGGUUUGUAAUGAGCCUUCCCUCUUCAUCCUGUUAGAUCUAGUCAGUCGUUACAUACACCCUGAAUGCCUGUGAGGUCCUGGACACAGGGCUAAACGGCAGCGAGAGCUACAACACACCCCUCUAGAAAGAGAUUUAAAGUCAUCCAUGACAAUUCAUUGAUGUUUACCACUUUUCUCAAUAAGCUACCACACACAGCUAACUCAGCAAAAGGUUUCUGUUCGGUGACCUUUGAACACACAAGAGCAAACUGCCUGUAAACAACAUGACCCAAAGCCGCCUUCCUCCCUA